rnacentral:rRNA from 1 species
ACUAUGCGGUGAAACUGCGAAUGGCUCAUUAAAUCAGUUAUCGUUUAUUUGAUAGUACCUUACUACAUGGAUAACCGUGGUAAUUCUAGAGCUAAUACAUGCUAAAAACCCCGACUUCGGAAGGGGUGUAUUUAUUAGAUAAAAAACCAAUGCCCUUCGGGGCUCCUUGGUGAAUCAUAAUAACUUAACGAAUCGCAUGGCCUUGCGCCGGCGAUGGUUCAUUCAAAUUUCUGCCCUAUCAACUUUCGAUGGUAGGAUAGUGGCCUACCAUGGUAUCAACGGGUAACGGGGAAUUAGGG